rnacentral:rRNA from 1 species
UACGGAGGGUGCGAGCGUUAAUCGGAAUUACUGGGCGUAAAGGGCUCGUAGGCGGCCAACUAAGUCAGACGUGAAAUCCCUCGGCUUAACCGGGGAACUGCAUCUGAUACUGGAUGGCUUGAGUUCGGGAGAGGGAUGUGGAAUUCCAGGUGUAGCGGUGAAAUGCGUAGAUAUCUGGAGGAACACCGGUGGCGAAGGCGGCAUCCUGGACCGACACUGACGCUGAUGAGCGAAAGCCAGGGGAGCAAACGGG